CUGACUGGGACUUUUUACAACUUACCACCUGCUGCAUUCUCUACUCGGUCUGGAGGAAGAUAAUUCAGUCAUUCAACAAACAUUUAUAUUUAUCUCUGAAAUAUCUGCUAUGGAGAUCGUGGGUAUUUAUAAUGUAGCUCUAAGGGCAUGUGUUCAGUUUUAGCAGCAUCUAAAUCAGCGUUAAAUUGAGUAGGAUGAUUAGUAUGAAGCCAUCAGUGAAAUGCAUAAGGCAUGAGGGAAAAAUGAAAUGCUCCAUUAAGUAAGAAAUUAAUGAUUAAUGAUUUUUGUCCAGCUCCUGAUUGUGAGACAUUUUACUUAUUUUUUGAUACACACGGUGUCUUUCCUCAAAGAUCUUUAUCUAGAUGGGAUUAAACAGAGGCACACAGAUUCCUAGGACUAUCAGAGGAAGCAGCUACUUCAAAAGAAAGGGGGACCACAUGGCGUCCGUGUGGAGGGGGGACACUCAGGUCCGGAACGGAAGCAGGAAACCAAGUCAGGAGGUUGCCGCAAAUCCCCCAGAUGCACAUUUUCGAGCAAUUGGAUCAAAACGGAAGAUGGAGCAGUGACGUGAAAGGGAGGGGCCGGAGUUAGAACUGAGGGUCGGUUUGAGAGGGCAGGAGGAGAGGGGUCCAGCGCGACUCCCGGGGUGCUGGCCCAGAACUCAAGACAAAUGUCCAAUAGCUGCUUGUUGAAAAUUCUUUAUUCUUAUCCAGACUGAGAUGCUCUUAGGGCAAAGACUCCUAUGCUUUUGGGACUCUAACCAUACAGCGGUACCUCAGUUCAUGAGCUCAAUUCUUUCCACGAUUCUGGUCACAGAAUUAAUUCCACGAUUAAGUUCGUUAACCGAGGCACCACUGUAUUUUGUCCAUAGGCUCUGAUCUCUCUGACUCUGUCUGCUGGUGAGUGUGAAGGCUGAGGAGUAUCGGAGUCUGAUAAGUGCUGGUUAGAGUUAUCAGAUGAAAUAGGGGACAACCCAUUAAAUUUGAAAUUCUCAGUUUAAAAAAUCAGUAUUUUAAAAUACAAGUAUAACCUGUGCAAUAUUUGUGACAGGCUUGCGGGAGAAAAGUCAUUGUUUAUAUAAAACUUAAAUUUAAUUGGGGACCUUGUAUUUUAAUUUGGUAAAUCUGGCAACCCUCGUUUUGAGGUGUGCAUGCGUGUGUGGGUCUCUGUGUGUGUAAGUAUAGUAGUGUAAGUAUAGUAGAUAAUAGGAAUAGAGUUGUACAGAAAUAGUGGGAUAUUCAAAAGAUUAAAAUGAUCUUAAGAGGGGUUGGGGAUUUAGCUCACUGGUUCUGCUGCCUGCAUCUCACAAGCACAAGGACCCGAGUUCAAUCCCCAGAACCCCCCCACCCCCAAAAAUCAAAACAAAUGAGAUCUUGGGGCUGAGGAUUUGGCUCAGUGGUUCUGUCGCCUGCCUCUCAAGCAUAAGAACCUGAGUUUGAUCCCUGGUAUCCCUCCAAAAAAUGAUCUUAAGAGCCUUCAUUUUCACAGAGGAGACGGGCAAGGUACAAGAAACAAAAAAAAAAAAAAAUGAGUCACAUUAAAGGAGGCACGGGACAGAGUGACUUGCAAGAUACCUGAGGUCGCUAGCUCCCUCCGUGGAAUGCACCCAGGUUUCCUCUUCUGAAGUGAAUUGUCACACCUGACGGAGUGAAGAAGGAAACUAAAGUAACAAAAAAAAAAAAAAAAAAAAAAUGAGUCACAUUAAAGGAGGCACGGGACAGAGUGACUUGCAAGAUACCUGAGGUCGC
ensembl:lincRNA